rnacentral:rRNA from 1 species
AGCAGUAGCCGCGGGAAUACGGAGGAUCCAAGCGUUAUCCGGAAUCAUUGGGUUUAAAGGGUCCGUAGGCGGUCUUGUAAGUCAGUGGUGAAAGCCCAUCGCUCAACGGUGGAACGGCCAUUGAUACUGCAGGACUUGAAUUAUUGGGAAGUAACUAGAAUAUGUAGUGUAGCGGUGAAAUGCUUAGAGAUUACAUGGAAUACCAAUUGCGAAGGCAGGUUACUACCAAUUGAUUGACGCUGAUGGACGAAAGCGUGGGUAGCGAACAGGAUUAGAUACCCGAGUAGUCCCUGUCUCUUAUAU